UGGAAUCUGUAAAAAGGCGUUUAAAC
rnacentral:piRNA from 1 species